GUUAAAGUAAACUAUAUAGGUUAUUGGGUUCAUACCCCGAAUGAAGAACUUAGCUUCUCUUUAAUA
rnacentral:tRNA from 1 species